UGCAAGCCAGGAGUUUUAUUUAGCUGUGCUGAAACCCCACAGACCUGGAACAGGACUCCUAAGCCAGUGUCCUUGCUGUCCAAGAGUACAAAAGCUCGUGAGCAGGCUCUGCCCCUUCUGGGAAGAACGCCA
rnacentral:sRNA from 1 species